rnacentral:rRNA from 1 species
AACGAACGCUGGCGGCAGGCUUAACACAUGCAAGUCGAGCGCCCCGCAAGGGGAGCGGCAGACGGGUGAGUAACGCGUGGGAAUCUACCCAUCUCUACGGAAUAACGCAUGGAAACGUGUGCUAAUACCGUAUACGUCCUUCGGGAGAAAGAUUUAUCGGAGAUGGAUGAGCCCGCGGUGGAUUAGCUAGUUGGUGGGGUAAAGGCCUACCCAGGCGACGAUCCAUAGCUGGUCUGAGAGGAUGAUCAGCCACACUGGGACUGAGACACGGCCCAGACUCCUACGGGAGGCAGCAGUGGGGAAUAUUGGACAAUGGGCGCAAGCCUGAUCCAGCCAUGCCGCGUGAGUGAUGAAGGCCCUAGGGUUGUAAAGCUCUUUCACCGGUGAAGAUAAUGACGGUAACCGGAGAAGAAGCCCCGGCUAACUUCGUGCCAGCCGCCGCAGUAACAC